rnacentral:lncRNA from 1 species
GAAUUAUUAAAUACAUUUGCCAUUUCGGGGCCUUUUAUAGCUGACUAUGCGGUAUGGGCUUUGCUCAUUGUUGAAGGCCGUAUGGUUACCUAUAAUUGUUCAUUUCUGUGUCAUUUGGUCUCUUGUGGAGAGUUGUCUCAUUGGCAAUUGCACCAGACCUAUUUUUAUGUACGUAUCACAUAAUUGGUAUUUACAAGAGCAAAACACACAGGUGAUCACAGGUGGCACACGAAGAGCAUCAUCUUAUAACAAGUCUGGGUCACGUGAGCUAACCC